rnacentral:rRNA from 2 species
AAAUUGAAGAGUUUGAUCAUGGCUCAGAUUGAACGCUGGCGGCAGGCCUAACACAUGCAAGUCGAACGGUAACAGGAAGCAGCUUGCUGCUUCGCUGACGAGUGGCGGACGGGUGAGUAAUGUCUGGGAAACUGCCUGAUGGAGGGGGAUAACUACUGGAAACGGUGGCUAAUACCGCAUAACGUCGCAAGACCAAAGAGGGGGACCUUCGGGCCUCUUGCCAUCAGAUGUGCCCAGAUGGGAUUAGCUAGUUGGUGAGGUAACGGCU